AGUGAACGCUGGCGGUAGGCCUAACACAUGCAAGUCGAACGGCAGCACAGUAAGAGCUUGCUCUUACGGGUGGCGAGUGGCGGACGGGUGAGGAAUACAUCGGAAUCUACUUUUUCGUGGGGGAUAACGUAGGGAAACUUACGCGAAUACCGCAUACGACCUACGGGUGAAAGCAGGGGAUCUUCGGACCUUGCGCGAUUGAAUGAGCCGAUGUCGGAUUAGCUAGUUGGCGGGGUAAAGGCCCACCAAGGCGACGAUCCGUAGCUGGUCUGAGAGGAUGAUCAGCCACACUGGAACUGAGACACGGUCCAGACUCCUACGGGAGGCAGCAGUGGGGAAUAUUGGACAAAGGGCGCAAGCCUGAUCCAGCCAUACCGCGUGGGUGAAGAAGGACUUCGGGUUGUAAAGCCCUUUUGUUGGGAAAGAAAAGCAGCAGGUUAAUACCCCGCUGUUCUGACGGUACCCAAAGAAUAAGCACCGGCUAACUUCGUG
rnacentral:rRNA from 1 species